rnacentral:misc_RNA from 1 species
CAUCCACAGAGAACCAACUUUCUGACAAGCAAAAAAUUAUAAACAAGGUUAAACAUUUUGCUUGUAAAAAUAGCUUAUAGAAGGUAUUAAAGUGCUAACAUCAAAACCAUCACUUGUCUUUCUAAAACAGAGAUAAUUCAUAUUAAAGUUCUAAAACGAAAGGUUGCUAGAAUCCUUGUAAUUAUUAGGUGUAUCAGUAAUUAUAGGAAACUUAUGUAAUUAGAAUCCUUGUAAUUAGCUAGGUAUCCCUGAAAUUAGCUAAGUCUUUAUUUAGUUUCCUUUUGUGUCUGUAACUCACCCUAUAUAAAUAGGGAACCUUACGUACGUUUAAACACAUAAGAAAGAGAUUUUUUUUCUCCAAAUUUACUGUUCUCAAUAUGGUAUUAGAGCACAACCAAAUUUUUUGGCCUGAAAUUUCCUGAACAGUACCGAGAUUUAGGGUUUUAUUAAGGUUAUUACUUGGAGCGCCUUCUACAACGAGAGUUGGAGGUCACCACCCACCUCAAACGGUAGCCCACUCGCGGAUCGGCACUUUUACGGAGGAAGCGUAGUUGUCCGGCCACACGCGUGAGUACACACGCCUUGUUUGUCCCUGACGUCUCUCACACAUGCUAGAGCGUGGGGCAUUUUUUAGCAACCUUUUCUGGCCGAAUCCUCCUCCGACAACCUCGCCCGUGUGCUGCGACCUUGUUCAACCUAUUACUUUGUUACGUAUUAUAGGAGAAGGAGGAAGAAUAAGUAGUUGAGAGUAGUGGAUAAGGAUAAGGUUGGAGGGAAAUAUUGUUAGAUAGUCAAUUACACAACUAAAUCAGUUAGCAACUGAUAAGAUACUCUCUUAUAAAUAAGAGAUAUUGCUUGUAUCAAGGAAUUCAAUUGAAAAAUCAAUAACAAGAUAUUUUUCUUCUCUCAAGAUUCUAUUCUUUUCUCAUCUCAUUCUUCUUCUCUCUCAUCUCGUUCUUCUUCUUUCGAGAAUUCUAUUCAAUGUCUAUGUUCAGUAACUAAUAUUGGACCGAUAUUUAACAUUUUUGUAUCAGAGCCAGGUUGCAUGAGGGAUUGAUCUGAUUCUGGAUCUGGAACUGCCAAUUGUAGAUCUAGAAACUGCCGAGAUGACCAGAUCUGGAGUAGUGGCUCAAGAAUUGGCUAAUGCAGCCAAGAUAGCUGAGUUGGAGGAGCAAAUCAGGGUUAUGCAAGAAGUUGCGAAAAAGGAUAAUGAUAAUGUGAUGGAGAAAAUUAGGCAAAGUGCAGAGGAAACUAGAAAUGUGAUAUUGGAGCAAAUGCGAUCUUUAUUUGGGACAAAUUUGGGGGAUAAGGGUAAAGAAAUCAGUUCUGGAGAAAGUGCAGGGGCAGCUGCUUCUACUGGAUCUUUAGGAGGCUGGGGUAUUUUACCUAUACCUAAGGAGAAUGGAAAUCAGCCUCAAAAGUAGUCCCACAGUGUUGGAUCUAUGAUUGCAAUUGAAGGUAUGCCUAAGAAUUUACCUAAAGUCAAACUUGUUACUUUAGAUGGUAAAGAACCAAGAGCUUGGAUUAGGAAAUGUAUCAAGUAUUUUGAGGUCUAUGGAAUACCCAAGGAUCAAAUGGUGAGAAUUGCUAGUUUGUUUUUAAUGGAUAGGGCUAAUGCAUGGUAUCAUAAUUGGGUUAGGGGAGUUGGAUCUCAUAAUUGGGAGGAUUUUGCGAGGGAAUUAUGAGCAAGAUUUGGGGAAGAUGGAUUGGAGGAUGUAAUUGAGGAAGUUUUCAAACUUCAUUAUUCUGCAUUCACUCCUCUGCAUUACAAUACAAGGAUUCUCAGCAGUGUAUGAUGGAUGGAAUUUCAUUUCCUGUUACUUAUCCCUUAACUAAGUAUCAUUGUAUUUUUGAGGAUGCAAAGGGUCUCCCUCCAUUUAGAUCUCAUAAUCAUUCAAUUCCAUUGCACCCUGCUGCUCAACCAGUGAAUAUAAGGCCUUAUAGAUAUCCACAUUUUCAGAAAACUGAGAUUGAGAAGCUUGUAAAAGAAAUGCUGGACAGUGGGGUCAUUCAACCCAGUAAUAGUCCUUAUGCCUCUCCAGUGUUAUUAGUUAAAAAGAAAGAUGGAACCUAGAGAUUUUGUAUUGAUUACAGAAGGCUUAAUGACCUUACUAUUAAGGAUAAGUUUCCAAUAACUAUUAUACAUGAUCUCCUUGAUGAGCUUCAUGGAGCAACAAUAUUUUCCAAAAUUGACUUGAAGGCUGGUUAUCAUCAGAUAAGAAUGAAUCCUGUGGAUGUGCAUAAGACUGCUUUUAGAACACACCAUGGGCACUAUGAUUUCAUUGUCAUGCCCUUUGGGCUGACUAAUGCCCCUGCCACCUUUCAGAGACUUAUGAAUCAUAUUUUCCAACCCUUCUUGAGGAAGUUUGUCUUAGUUUUCUUUGAUGACAUUUUGAUAUAUAGUACAUCUUGGGAGGAGCAUUUGAGACACUUAGAAGAGGUUUUCAAAGUGUUGCAACAACAGCAGUUGUAUGCCAAAUUGAGCAAAUGCUCCUUUGGUAAAGCUGAGAUUGAUUAUUUGGGGCAUAUUAUUUCUGGCAGAGGGGUUGCUAUUGAUCCUACCAAGGUUCAAGCUAUUGUUUCUUGGCCUACUCCAACAUUAGUAAAAGAUUUAAGAAGUUUUCUUGGGCUGACUGGAUACUAUAGGAAAUUUGUGCAUCAUUAUGGCAUAAUUAGUAAGCCUUUGACUGAUAUGCUUAAAAAAGAUGCCUUUCAGUGGGAUGAUAGGGCUCACCAAGCAUUUGAGCAGCUUAGGGAAGCUAUGUUUAUAACACCAGUAUAUGAAAGGGAAUCACUGGCCAUUACAUUUGCUGACUCUAAAUGGAGACAUUAUUUGGAGCAAGGACCCUUCUUUAUUAAGACAGACCAUGAGAGCAUCAAACAUCUCUUGGAACAGAGAUUGCACACUAAUUUGCAGCUCAGAGAAGUUUCAAAAUUGCUAGGGUUGCAAUACAACAUAUUAUAUAAGAGAGGGGUGGACAAUAAGGUUGCUGAUGCUUUAUCCAGAACGCCUGGAGAUUCUGACAGCAAACUGAUGGUUCUUAUUUCUUCUUUACAGCCCACUUGGAUGGUUCAAAUUAUUCAAAGUUAUUCUGAAGACAAACAAGCACUUGAUUACAUUGCUCAUUUGUCUAUUGAUGAAAAGGCAAAUCCUGGAUUUUCUUUCAAGAAUGGACUGUUAUUCUAUAAGGACAGAUUAUAUGUAGGAAGCAGUGGUAAUCUUAGGAACCAAUUACUGACAAUUUAUCACAGCUCUCAGUUGGGAGGCCAUUCUGGCAUUAAUGCUACCCUUGUGAGGCUUAGUAGGCACUUUUAUUGGCUUAAAAUGUCUCAAGCAGUUAUGGAAUGGGUCAAAAGUUGUGAUGUAUGUGCAAGGUGUAAGGCAGAAACUUGCGCUUCACCAGGGCUUUUACAGCUAUUACCAGUUCCUACUCAAGCCUGGCAAAAUGUUACUAUGGACUUUGUAGAGCAAUUAUCCAAGUCUAAGGGUAAAGAUACUAUACUGGUGGUAGUUUGCAGAUUCACCAAGUAUGGUCAUUUUAUUCCACUCCAACAUCCUUUUACUGCCUCGUGUUGCCAAACUUUUCCUGGAUUCUGUGUUCAGGCUUCAUGGAUUGCUUGUGUCCAUUAUUUUUGACAGAGAUAAAAUCUUUACCAGCCUUUUUUGGAAGGAAUUUUUCCAUGUUUUGGGGACUAAGCUAGCCUAGAGCACUGCCUAUCAUCCUCAAUCAGAUGGGCAGUUAAAGAGGCUCAAUCAGUGCCUAGAGAAUUAUCUUAGAUGUUUCUGCUUUCAAACUCCCCACUCUUGGAGUAAGUGGUUGCCUAUGGCAGAGUGGUGGUAUAAUACAAAUCAUCACAGUGACCUCAAGAUAUCCCCUUUUGAGGCCUUAUAUGGGUUUCAGCUUGCCCCAUUAACCUUUCUACCACUGAAAGAAACCUCUGUAGGGAUUGUUUCUGAGUUUGUCCAAAAGAGGCAGCAGAUGAUUCACUUGCUCAGAGAGAAUUUGCUAAAAUCUCAGCAAAGAAUGAAACAAUAUGUUGAUAAACAGAGGUUUGAAAGAACAUUUGAAGUGGGAGAUUGGGUGUAUCUGAAGUUACAGCCUUACAGACAAACCUCCUUGGCUAUAAGGAAGAAUUUAAAGCUGUCAGCUAGAUUUUAUGGUCCCUACCAAGGUGGGUGCAGUGGCCUACAAGCUUCAAUUGCCUGCUACUACCAAUAUUCAUCCUGUUUUUCAUGUUUCCCUAUUGAAGAAGAAAGUUGGGAAUAAUGUGGUAGUAGCACAACAGCUUCCUCCUUUUGUGAAUAACUCAGUCACCAUAGUUCCUGCAAAGGUUUUUCCUACUAGAAUUAUCAAAAGGCAGGGCCAACAGGUUUUACAAGGUCUCAUUUGCCUAAGAAAGAUGCCACAUGGGAAGAUGAGACUUUUAUCCUCAGCCAAUUUCCUGAAUUUCAAUCUUCUUGGGGACAAGAA